AUGAACGCUAGCUACAGGCUUAACACAUGCAAGUCGAGGGGCAGCAUGACUUAGCAAUAGGUUGAUGGCGACCGGCGCACGGGUGAGUAACACGUAUCCAACCUGCCGAUUAUUCCGGGAUAGCCUUUCGAAAGAAAGAUUAAUACUGGAUAGCAUAACGAGAAGGCAUCUUCUUGUUAUUAAAGAAUUUCGAUAAUCGAUGGGGAUGCGUUCCAUUAGUUUGUUGGCGGGGUAACGGCCCACCAAGACAUCGAUGGAUAGGGGUUCUGAGAGGAAGGUCCCCCACAUUGGAACUGAGACACGGUCCAAACUCCUACGGGAGGCAGCAGUGAGGAAUAUUGGUCAAUGGACGAGAGUCUGAACCAGCCAAGUAGCGUGAAGGAUGACUGCCCUAUGGGUUGUAAACUUCUUUUGUAUGGGAAUAAAGUGAGCCACGUGUGGCUUUUUGUAUGUACCAUACGAAUAAGGAUCGGCUAACUCCGUGCCAGCAGCCGCGGUAAUACGGAGGAUCCGAGCGUUAUCCGGAUUUAUUGGGUUUAAAGGGAGCGUAGGCGGAUUAUUAAGUCAGUUGUGAAAGUUUGCGGCUCAACCGUAAAAUUGCAGUUGAUACUGGUAGUCUUGAGUGCAGCAGAGGUAGGCGGAAUUCGUGGUGUAGCGGUGAAAUGCUUAGAUAUCACGAAGAACUCCGAUUGCGAAGGCAGCUUACUGGACUGUAACUGACGCUGAUGCUCGAAAGUGUGGGUAUCAAACAGGAUUAGAUACCCUGGUAGUCCACACAGUAAACGAUGAAUACUCGCUGUUUGCGAUAUACAGCAAGCGGCCAAGCGAAAGCAUUAAGUAUUCCACCUGGGGAGUACGCCGGCAACGGUGAAACUCAAAGGAAUUGACGGGGGCCCGCACAAGCGGUGGAGUAUGUGGUUUAAUUCGAAGCAACGCGAAGAACCUUACCAAGGCUUGACAUAUACAGGAAUAUUUAAGAGAUUAAAUAGCUCUUCGGAGUCUGUAUACAGGUGGUGCAUGGUUGUCGUCAGCUCGUGCCGUGAGGUGUCGGCUUAAGUGCCAUAACGAGCGCAACCCUUAUCUUUAGUUACUAACAGGUCAUGCUGAGGACUCUAGAGAGACUGCCGUCGUAAGAUGUGAGGAAGGUGGGGAUGACGUCAAAUCAGCACGGCCCUUACGUCCGGGGCUACACACGUGUUACAAUGGGGGGUACAGAAGGCAGCUACACAGCGAUGUGAUGCUAAUCCCAAAAGCCUCUCUCAGUUCGGAUUGGAGUCUGCAACCCGACUCCAUGAAGCUGGAUUCGCUAGUAAUCGCGCAUCAGCCACGGCGCGGUGAAUACGUUCCCGGGCCUUGUACACACCGCCCGUCAAGCCAUGAAAGCCGGGGGUACCUGAAGUACGUAACCGCAAGGAGCGUCCUAGGGUAAAACUGGUAAUUGGGGCU
rnacentral:rRNA from 1 species